rnacentral:rRNA from 1 species
GAUGAACGCUGGCGGCGUGCCUAAUACAAGCAAGUCGAGCGAACAGACGAGGAGCUUGCUCCUCUGACGUUAGCGGCGGACGGGUGAGUAACACGUGGAUAACCUACCUAUAAGACUGGGAUAACUUCGGGAAACCGGAGCUAAUACCGGAUAACAUGUUGAACCGCAUGGUUUAACAGUGAAAGACGGUCUUGCUGUCACUUAUAGAUGGAUCCGCGCCGCAUUAGCUAGUUGGUAAGGUAACGGCUUACCAAGGCAACGAUGCGUAGCCGACCUGAGAGGGUGAUCGGCCACACUGGAACUGAGACACGGUCCAGACUCCUACGGGAGGCAGCAGUAGGGAAUCUUCCGCAAUGGGCGAAAGCCUGACGGAGCAACGCCGCGUGAGUGAAGAAGGUCUUCGGAUCGUAAAACUCUGUUAUUAGGGAAGAACAAAUGUGUAAGUAACUAUGCACGUCUUGACGGUACCUAAUCAGAAAGCCACGGCUAACUACGUG